ensembl:lncRNA
UCUACCUGUGCCCAACUAGCAGCUGUAUCAGAGUGCUAGAUUUGGGACAUGCUUUUCUCUUUAAAUACAUACUGUCAUUAUAUAAAUUAUUCUAGAGUAUAUUUAAUUAGGAUAAAAUUACUUCCUUAGUAUGGAUAUUUGACAUCUAUAUGGUGAAUCUGUUUAUAAAUAUGGACAUAUGAAAAUUUAUUUGCAUUGACUUUUAUGUUUGCUACUAUUUGGCUUUAUUCUAUAUCUCCUUAGCUGAAAAAUACUUGGCCAGACCUUCAAGAUCCCAAAGAAACAUUCUCAUUUAAUGGAAUAAUACAUUUUUCUCUUAAGGAAUUAUAUCAUUGGUACUUGACAGAUUUGUAUACUUAACUCCUAUUCUAGAAUAUAAGCAAUUAUAUCAAAUUUUCAUGGUGGCUUGACAGCAGACUAGACCUUUCCCAGCCUGAGUCAUAAGAAGUAUGGAAACAUCCAUUGGAAGAACAUGGGCCAUCCAAUUCGACAAAGGAUACUGUGUUUUAACAUUAUCUCAACCAUCUCAACUAGUUCUAUGAACUGAAUAAAACAGCUUCAUUUCUACAGUCAUUUAAUAAUGAGCUUAAACACUUUCAUUUAUUUUCCCAAAACCUACUGGCAUUGUUAAAAAUCAGACUAUAUCAAAUAUCUAACUAAGGAUGUAGUUAGCCUUAUUAAAUAUUGAUUAGAAUUGUUCUGUAAUAUUACUGAAUUUGUAAGAUCUUUAGCAAAGAUUUUUGAGCAAUUUAUAAAUAUAGAGCAAAUGUUUCUGUUUACUGCACUUUUUGUAACUGAAAGUGAUAAAUUCUCAAGCCAUGAUCAGUGGCUCCCAUGCACUGCAUAUUUACCCACCAUUCUAGAUAUUUUCCAUUUUUAUGGAAGAGUUCAUAUUACCUUAAUUAUAAAUGCAAUUGUGUGGUUCAUGAAAGCGAAUGCUAAUAGUUAACCCUUUAGAGUGAAUUGGCUACUGUUUAGGGAGAAAUCGCUGAACACAAAUCACGUCAUUCCUUAACUGUCUCACUUGGAAAGAGAUUAAAACUUUUUUUAAGGCACUAUUUAGCAUCCUAAGCACCCCUAGGGUAGACAGUGUAUCUCUUUGUGCCUGCACAAUGGCCAGCACAUGUCAGCAUCUGCUAAUUAUUAAAUUACAAGUGGCCCCAAUUAAAACUUUUUUCCUGGGUUGUUUUGGCAAAUUUAUGAAGUAUACCAAGCCUUAUGAUUAACAUUUUCUUCUACAACCAAGAAUAAAAACCACAUUUAAAAAGACCACAUGAAAUGUUGAUUCUAAUUGUGUGUAGGUCUUGAGGAUUAAGCACACAAAUUUCACAAAACUCUGUGAGUAACAAACUCAGCCUUCUGUAAAUAUACAUGCAAGUUUGAAAAGUGAUACUGUACCUAUAAACAUAUGCUGUCUGUGUACAGUAUGUAAAAUCUCCUUUUCUGCCACACUAAAAAUGCAAGCCAUUUACAAGAAUCCUAAAAAAUAGCAUUGAACUAAAACUUUGCUAAUGAUCUUUAUUAGAGCAUCAUCCAACUUCUCACUUACAUUGGGUUUUCUUUUCAAUUCACUCUUUACAGUAGUCUGCUUAUUUCCAGCUGUUUAUUUUCUUGACUCUUGAAUUUAAAAAAAAAUAUUUUGAUUCAUUUUGUAAAUACAAGCUGUAAAAAAGAGAGAUUUAAUGUUGUCUUUUAAAUACUCCGAUUUUCAUUCUAAUAUGAAUGUUGUUAUAUUGUACUUAGAAACUGUACCUUUAAUAUUACAUUACCUUUAUUAAAAGUGCAUCGAAC